UCAAAAAAAAAAAAAAAAACUUUAUUAAUAUAGCCAUUUAAUACCUGACACGGGGUGUCAGGGACAGUAAAUAAGAAAAUGUUUAGAAAAAAUAUCUUAACAGCAAAACUCACCCCACACUUUGAACAAAGUCCUAGGUCUCCUCAUUUGAAGUUUUAAAAGCUGUGUUCAGGGAAGGAAGUUUUUCUCUUUAAUUGCUCAGGUAUAAGGUAUCCAGGUGACUAUAUCAAGUGACAGAUUUGUGAAGGAAAGCUCUUCAGAAGGAAGUAUUGUUAUGUGCCACAAGAUGAAUGAAAAAAUAUGCUGUGAGAAUCCCAUUCAUAGCUAAGAAAAUGACAAAAUUUAUCUGUGGGGUUAGGAGUCCGAAUUCUUGACCUGGAAAGGAGUUAUUUGUUUUUGUUUGUGUGUGUGUGCCUUUUAAAAAAUUUGCUUUAUUUAUUUAUUUUAAAAAGAGAGAGAGAGAGAGAGAGAUCCAUCUUCCACCCACUGGCUCACUCCCCAAAUGGCUGUUAACAGCUAGGGCCAGACUAAAGCAAGGAGUCCAAAGCUCCAUCUGGGUCUCCCAUGUGGAUGGCAGGGGCCCAAGUACCUGGGCCAUCCUCUACUGCCUUCCCAAGUGCAUUAGCAGGGAACUGGAACCAGCACUGAUAUGGAAUGCCGGUCUUGCAGGCGACAGUUCAACCUGCAGCACCAAAGUACUGGCCCAGGUUUGGUUUAGUUUGUGAAAAUGUAUUUUUUGUUUGUUUGUUUUGACAGGCAGAGUGGACAGUGAGAGAGAGAGAGACAGAGAGAAAGGUCUUCCUUUGCUGUUGGUUCACCCUCCAAUGGCCGCCGCGGCUGGCGCGCUGCAGCCAGCGCACCACGCUGAUCCGAUGGCAGGAGCCAGGUACUUAUCCUGGUCUCCCAUGGGGUGCAGGGCCCAAGCACUUGGGCCAUCCUCCACUGCACUCCCUGGCCACAGCAGAGAGCUGGCCUGGAAGAGGGGCAACCGGGACAGAAUCCGGCGCCCCGACCGGGACUAGAACCCGGUGUGCCGGUGCCGCAAGGUGGAGGAUUAGCCUAGUGAGCCGCGGUGCCGGCCGUGAAAAUGUAUUAAACGCUAUACUUAUAACUUGAGUAGUUUGCUGUCUGCAUCUUAUAUCUCAUUUUAAAGUUGCACACUACAAAUUUUAAUUUUAAUUCAGUUUCAAAUCACAGAGUUUGGAAAACUAGGGCCUGUGGGUUAAAUAUAGGCUUCAGGUAUUUCUUGUUUGGUUAGUAAAAAAAAAUUUUGACCCAGCGUGGGCAUAUAGCGUAGUGGUUAAGAUGCCUCCUUCCGACACUGGAGUGUCUGGAUUUGAUUCCUGGUUAGGCUCCUGAUUGCUGCUAAUGCAGACCCUGGAGGCAGCAGUAAUGGUUCAACUGAGUCCCUGCCACUCACGUGGGAGACCUGGAUUGAAUUUCUGGCUCCUGAUUCGGGCUGUGGCCCAGCCCUGACCUUACAGGCAUUUGGAAAGUGAACCACUAGAUGACAGCUCGCUCUGUGUCUCUCUGUCUGUGUCUCUCUCUUUCUUCCUCUCAAAUAAAUGAAAUUUUAAGUUUUUGAGUAAGCAGUAGUAGUAAGCUGGGAGUCUGGAGCUCGGGGGAGCCGUAAAUAUAUACCAGGGUGCUUCAAGAAGUCUGUGGAAAACGCAAUGCAUGCAUCCAAGGCAUCGUCAAAAAGCUCAUGAAAAAGCACCUGUUAUUAAAAAAAAAUGUAUGGGUUUCCAGAUGUCUUGGCACCCAAGUGAACUUACUUUUUAAGACCCUUUUUCCAGGGACAUUUUGAAGUGUCCUCGCACUUGCUGUCUCUCAUUGUCCUCAUUGCUCUUGAAAAGGCUACACCUGCGCAGCUUCACCGCCGUGGGCUCCCCACCAGACCUCUGAGUGUAUCGGAGUUCAAAACGCCCUUCUCCACCACAUGCCACACAGGUAACCCUAGGUUGGCUGCCCUGCCUGAGUUGUUCCCACAACCUAAAAUUGUAAUUCAGUCCCAAAAGUUUUCUUUCUCUUUUUUUCUUAACAAGAAUCCAAUGUGUACCUCACACAAUGCCAGCCACAUAAUAGAUCCUAAACGAAUGGAAGUGAUGCAAUGAUUAGCAGGAACACUCUCAAACAAUGACAGUGUUUGUUGAAAUGAAAUUGAGGAUCACUUGCUGACUCCCAGCCAUUCUCCCACUGCGGCAGCCGAGCUGGUCCCUGCUUCAGAUCCCAUUUGCCACGUCAGGUUUUUGCUCAACCACGUUUAAUAACCAGUUUCCAGAUCUGGAUAUUGGGGGCUGUAAAUUUCCCUGGUGACUGUUGCCAAUGACAGGGAAGGAAAGACUUGUGUAAUUACCACUUGUACUUCCACAAAACACAUGAACUCAAGUAGAGAGCAAGGGUUUUAGACAAUAAAACACCAGGUUUUUAAAAGGCAGGAAAGACCUGCCCCACUUGGAUGAUAAGAACUGUGUGCCUGGUUAGAAAAAGAGAAACAAGAAUGACCCUGGUGUGGCCGAAGCACCACGCAAAGCCUUUGUUUGGGAAGGGACCAUUUCCCCUUUCCACCAAUGGCUGCAGAUUCACACACCUCUGUCAGAAGAAAUUAAGGCUUUAGGAUUAGCCAUGUGUUGGCUGGGAGUUAGUAGCCUUACCUGUGGCCAAAAUCCAUGGCAUUUAUUUGUCUAUAUUCCUUUGGUGAUGCAGUUACUCUUCUUAGUUGAUUUUACAGAAUGAUUGUUUGGAAAUGCUGCCAUGCUGUUCGGCAUCCUUCAAACAAGGCAAUGUAAUGAGUUGUAUGAAAAUAUCCCAAGACAGCAACCUGCUAGGACUUUGGGAACUAUGAAGACAUAGGGAAAUGCUCAAGGUCCUCCAUUGAAGGUGUUGGGCUUGGUUUCCAAAUCUAGUUGACGAUGUCCUGGUUUCAGAAAAUGGAGGUAGAGGUGAGCUGUCUUGAGUUUGGAGUCCCCCAAAGGAUUUGAUUUUUGAAAAUAAGAAAAUGCAUAAUUCUUGAUAUCUUUCCCUUGCAAUGGCUUGUGUUAGCAAGACAGCAUCCCUAUAGCAGGCUUAGGCUGCAUUUGCUUUUUCUGGAAGGAGCUGAACACCAAGCACAGGACACAGAGGAUUGACAAGAGGAUUAGCGGGUUGUGCAGUGAAAGGAAAGAGUACUGGAAUUAAAAAAAAAUUUAAUUUCUUUGUAAUAGAGAGAGAGACAGAAAGAGAGACAUCUUCCCUCCUCUGGUUCAUCACCUCAAAUGCCUGCAACAGCCAGGGCCGGGCCAGGCUGAAGCCAGGUGUAGAGAACUCAAUCUAGGACUCCCACAAGGGUAGCAGGGACCCAAAUACUUGAGCCGUCACCAUGCCGGUCAGGGUGCACCGUAGCAGGAAGCUGGAAGCAGACCCAAAUCCAGACUUAAUACCCAGACUAGAAUGUGGGAUGUGAGUGUCCCCAGUGGUGACCUAACCACUGUGACAAACACCCACCCCCAGAACUAGAAUUUCUUAGGGUGAUCAGUCCCAAAUUUCCUGAGCUUCCAGAAUUUAGGAAAUCAAGGAAGAAAAAUUUCUCUUAGAGUCAGAUUAGGCUGCUCAAAAAAAACUGAAAUUGAACAAAUCCAAAAGGGGCCACUGUGAAUUCUUAAGGAAUCAGCUCAGAGCAUGGCAUGUGGCCAUUCAUAAAAGGGUCAAUGUCCUCCUAUCUUUUCUCCUGAUGAUAACAGCUUCCCUGAAGUCUCACUUUGCCCCAAAGCGGUCAAAAUUGAUAGCAGCAGAGUUGAUUUUAAAUCACCAAAGACCCAGACAGACAACAAGGAAUAAACGGUUUGCUCCAGGUAUUUGGAGGAGCAGAGCAUUCUGCAAGAUUGCAUGAGAGGGACCAUUAACAGCACUUUCCUCCGUAAAACAGUUGUCUGUGCAUGUGCCCUGGGGAUUAUUAGCUCAAAGCUCGGAUGCCUCCUGGCUCACCUCUAAGUCUUCCCUCGCCCCAGCCCAUGACCUUGGAUCACACAGCUUCCCCUACUGCUGAGCCUGUUCAGCUGAAGAGUAAUGGACAAUUGGCUGAGGAUAAACUCAAAGGUGAGUAAUUACAUUUCAGCUUCUGUAUCAUUCAAAGCUAGUUCUUGUUCAUCUCUUCUCCAUGUCAACAUCAGAGUCAUUGCAAGUUGCCCGCUAACGCUUUUCACGUGCUUCUGAUCAUCUCUAAAGAGCAGGACACCAGCAGCAAGACUUCUAUGUUGAGCAGCGCUCCCGCUGUCUUUCUAAGUGGUGCUGGGAGGCAUGAGUAAAUGCAACAGCGCUUCGUAAGCUGGAUACUCCAGUUGGAGCAAGAAGAUGUGUUGCUUUCAGCUGAUACUUUGGAAACCACAUGAUGUGCAUUACUAUGGAGAAGCUCUGAAGAGUUGGCAUUGGCAAGAGAGAACUACAUGCCAGUGUAUGCUCAGCACAGUGACUAUGUUUCCUCAUUUCGUAGUCACAGCGGCCCCAGUGAGGUAGACAAUGUGUGAUGGUUAAGUCCUGGAUGUGUAGAGUCUGAUUACGAAGGCUGAAACCUGCUUAGCAGUGAUGGGGCCACAGGUAAGACCAUUCCUCCAUCGUUUAUGCAGAGUGUAUUUUCUGUGCCAGGUGCUGGGGGUGGUCCCAGCUUUGAGCAAGACAGAGGAGAUCCCUCCUGAGAGCUACCUUCUAGUGAGGUCAAACAAAAUAGACAAGUAACCAAGCCUGCGGGCAAACAAGAGCAUCUUCGAUUAGGACGACAGCAGGGAGAGGGUGGGGUCUGCUUCUAGACUGAUCCGCACAUUGGGGAGCCGACCUAGCGGGAAUGAGGGCACCCUGAUCUGAAAGAACAGUGUUUCAGGCAGCGGGAAGAGCAGACAGCAGGAUGCACUCCUCUGAGCCUUGCGGGCCACGUGAACUUGUUUAUCUGAUGACCUCCGCGCAGUCCCUGAAGGGCUUGAAGCAGGGGAGUGACAUGACAGGAGCUGCACAGAGGAGCGAGAGCCUGCAUGCCCUCAUCUGGCAUUUCCGGGAUGACCCAGGAAUGGCGACAGCCCAGAUGCUUUUCAGAGAGCAGGGAAUUCCAAUGACACUGCUCAGCGCAAGGUAGGGAUUCCAGGUGCUGCUGAGUAGAGAUGCUGCCGUUUGUAAAUGUGGUGGAAAGA